rnacentral:lncRNA from 1 species
UUAUUUGUGGUCAAGAUUGGCUUCACCCCCAUUCAAAGCCAAUAAAUUUGGAGGAGGACUUGAAUGAAAUUGAAUUGCUUGAUCAAGGUAAUUUGUAUUAUUUUGAUUCUUUAAUUUGUCCUGUUUAAUUUUUUUUUUUUUUCUGUUACAAGUUAUAUAACUUGUUGUUUUUUUUCUCUCUAUUUUUUGUUUUUGUGUAGAACUAGCACAAUUGGAGGUAGGAUCAUCAAGAACUGAGGAUUGACUUGGUGAUUUGGUAACUUAUUGAAGGGUUGGUUACUUUUUGUCUGUUUUGUUUUGGUUGAUUUUGUGACUGUUGGAUUUGAAUAUUUUGAUUGAUUUUGGUGACUUAUAACUUAUUUAAGGAUGUAAUAUUUUUCUUUUGUUGAUUUUGGACCGUUGAAUAUUUGAAGUUGUCUGGAUUUUGGAAGUUGAACUGAUUUUGUUUUUGUAUUUGAAGUGUAUUUUUGAAUUGUUGUGGUUCUGUGGACUGUGGAGUGUGGAGUGUGAAACUGUUUGGGAAUUAUGAAGUGUGAUUUCAUAUGUAGAUUUGGAUGUAAAAAAAAAAAAAAAAAAAAAAAGAAAAAAAAAUCAGAACAGCAAAACCCGAACCCGA